UACGAAGGGGGCUAGCGUUGCUCGGAAUCACUGGGCGUAAAGGGUGCGUAGGCGGGUCUUUAAGUCAGGGGUGAAAUCCCGGAGCUCAACUUCGGAACUGCCUUUGAUACAGCACGUCUUGAGUCCGGAAGAGGUGGGUGGAAUUCCUAGUGUAGAGGUGAAAUUCGUAGAUAUUAGGAAGAACACCGGUGGCGAAGGCGGCCCACUGGUCCGGUACUGACGCUGAGGUGCGAAAGCGUGGGGAGCGAACAGG
rnacentral:rRNA from 1 species